GACGAACGCUGGCGGCGUGCCUAAUACAUGCAAGUCGAACGCAAAGUCUAUACCGUAGCUUGCUACACCAUAGCCUGUGAGUUGCGAACGGGUGAGUCACGCGUAGGUAACCUGCCUGGUAGCGGGGGAUAACUAUUGGAAACGAUAGAUAAUACCGCAUAAUCUUAUUUAUUGAAUGAUAAUUAAUUGAAAGGUGCAAUUGCACCACUACCAGCUGGAUCUGCGGUGGAUUAGCUAGUAGGUGAGGUAACGGCUCACCUAUGCGACGAUACAUAGCCGACCUGGGGGGGAUGUCGGCCACACUGGGACUGAGACACGGCCCAGACUCCUACGGGAGGCAGCAGUAGGGAAUCUUCGGCAAUGGGCGAAAGGCUUACCGAGCAACGCCGGGGGGGGGAAGAAGGUUUUCGGAUCGUAAAGCUCUGUUUUAAGAGAAGAAAGGGUGUGAGAGUGGAAAGUUCACACUGUGACGGUAUCCAACCAGAAAGGGACGGCUAACUACGUG
rnacentral:rRNA from 1 species